CCUACGGGAGGCAGCAGUGGGGAAUCUUGCACAAUGGGCGAAAGCCUGAUGCAGCAACGCCGCGUGCGGGAAGAAGGCCCUAGGGUUGUAAACCGCUUUCAGUAGGGAAGAAAAUGACGGUACCUACAGAAGAAGGUGCGGCCAACUACGUGCCAGCAGCCGCGGUGACACGUAGGCACCAAGCGUUAUCCGGAUUUAUUGGGCGUAAAGAGCUCGUAGGCGGUUCGGUAAGUCGGGUGUGAAAACUCUGGGCUCAACCCAGAGAGGCCACCCGAUACUGCUGUGACUAGAGUGCGGUAGGGGAGCGGGGAAUUCCUGGUGUAGCGGUGAAAUGCGCAGAUAUCAGGAGGAACACCAGCGGCGAAGGCGCCGCUCUGGGCCGUAACUGACGCUGAGGAGCGAAAGCAUGGGUAGCAAACAGGAUUAGAUACCCUGGUAGUCCAUGCCGUAAACGUUGGGCACUAGGUGUGGGUCUCAACCAACGAGAUCCGCGCCGUCGCUAACGCAUUAAGUGCCCCGCCUGGGGGAGGUACGGUCGCAGAACUAAACUUAAAGUAAGUAGACGCGNGAGACGNGCCGACGACGACGACGAGGAGAG
rnacentral:rRNA from 1 species